ACGGUUCAUUUAAUAGAUUCAAGGCAAUUUUUAGUAGCCUUUUAUUGGUAACUAUAUGUAGUUGGUCACUUUAUGGAUUAAAUUACCAAGAAAAGAGGGAAGUGUUAAAUUUAAGUACCUCGACUGCCAAAUACCCAUUACACAGAUAGUGGAGCACGAAAUUUUAAAAUUGUGCUCGCAUGGAAGGAUGUUUGCUAGAUAAAUAUCAAGAUCAAAGAUUUGUUAAACCAGAUAAUAAAAUAAUUACUUUUUUAAGAGGUUUGUGCUUAACGUUGGUUGACGUCUCUAAAGUUGCAUGUUUUGUAGUUCCCGAGAUCUCGACGGUUAUACGGACGGAAAGACGGACAUGGCCAGAAAGACUUGACUAGUCUAGACUAGUGAUCAAAAAUAUAUGUAUACUUUUUAGGGUAGAAAUGCUUGCAUCUACACUUUAAUGAAUACAGUAAUGGGUGUAAUUUCCCCAACCUGUCUAAUAAACCUAAACGGCAAUUAAUAAAAAACUAUCACAGGAUUAUUACCCCUACAGGCUAGUCACCCAUUGUUUUCGGAAUUAAACUUUAUUAGUCUACAUAGACCUUUCGACUAUAAUGCCGAAAAUACUAAGUAUCCUAGCACUUGUCAUUUAUUUCCCAUUCACAUAUUAUUUACGUUCAAAAUUUUUACCUUGCCUGGUGCACUGCUUCAAAUAUUAUUCCUGGGAGAAAUGUGAACCAGUUAAUUUUGAAAAUAUGUUAUUUUUGUCGGCUUGUGUCGGCGCCAGUGGAUUGCUGUGGGUAUCGUCGAAUUACACAGAAUUCCACUUUGUGUUCUCCUGGAUAAUUGUCACUUUUGAGUUAAUAGUGCUUGAGAUCUCUUAUAUGACCUAUGCAAUUAUUCUAACUAAAAAUCCCGUUUGGAAUUGGCAAAUUAUAUUAUUCGGUAUCCUGGUCUUCAGCUUCGUUUUGGUUUUGUUACACGUGCUGGUAGCAAAAAAGAUUGUUAAAAACCACUUGAUCGAAAACAUUUUCAGGGUGCUUCCUGAUAACACUGAUAACUAGUAUCUAAUAUGAGGUGUAUCGCGAAAUUUAUCGAACUACAGAUGUUUUGAUGUUCUUGGAAAUUUUAUCACUCUUUCUGGCGGGAUCUGGACUCUUUUUGAAUUACCUGAAAUUCAAAGUUGGUGAGGUACAAAUAAAUUACUAUAUUUUCUAAGCAUUCUGUUUUAACAGGUUAAAAUUAUUUAUUGCUUCUGGAUUAUAACUUUCUGUUUAUUGGAGGCUGAAGUAUUCUUCUUAAUUUUCUGGGAAACCGCUCAAAAAUUUGACGCCUAUUCAAUUUUCCACUUCUUGCACAUCUGUUUUGCGAUAUAUUCUCUGGUUUCAGUGUAUGGAAAUUUCAAAGGUCUAAAAUAUUGUCCUACCAAAGAAGUUCAAAUGGAGCUUGGGGAUGGAAAUAGUUAGUAUUAAUUUAACAAUUAUUAGCUGUCCUGUUUACAAAUAUACAGUUUU